UACAGAGGUCUCAAGCGUUGUUCGGAUUCAUUGGGCGUAAAGGGUGCGUAGGCGGCGCGGUAAGUCGGGUGUGAAAUCUCGGAGCUUAACUCCGAAACUGCAUUCGAUACUGCCGUGCUUGAGGACUGGAGAGGAGACUGGAAUUUACGGUGUAGCGGUGAAAUGCGUAGAUAUCGGGAGGAAUACCAGUGGCGAAGGCGGCUGCCUGGCCUGUUCUUGACGCUGAGGCGCGAAAGCUGGGGGAGCAAACGGG
rnacentral:rRNA from 1 species